rnacentral:misc_RNA from 1 species
GAUGAAGAACGUAGCGAAAUGCGAUAAGUAAUGUGAAUUGCAGAAUUCAGUGAAUCAUCGAAUCUUUGAACGCACCUUGCGCCCUUUGGCCAUUCCGAAGGGCAUGCCUGUUUGAGUAUCAUGAACACCUCAACUCUUCAUGGUUUUCCAUGAUGAGCUUGGACUUUGGGGGUCUUGCUGGCCUGUGGGUCGGCUCCUCUCAAAUGAAUCAGCUUGCCGGUUUUUGGUGGGCAUCACAGGUGUGAUAACUAUCUACGCUUGUGGUUUUCCACCAGGGUAACCUUCCGCAGUGGAGGUUCACUGGAGCUUACAAAUGUCUCUCCUCUGUGAGGACAGCCCUUUGAAUGUUUGAUCUCAAAUCAGGUAGGACUACCCGCUGAACUUAAGCAUAUCAAUAAGCGGAGGA